GAUGAACGCUGGCGGCGUGCCUAAUACAUGCAAGUCGAGCGAACAGACGAGGAGCUUGCUCCUCUGACGUUAGCGGCGGACGGGUGAGUAACACGUGGAUAACCUACCUCUAAGACUGGGAUAACUUCGGGAAACCGGAGCUAAUACCGGCUCAUAUAUUGAACCGCAUGGUUCAAUAGUGAAAGACGGUUUUGCUGUCACUUAUAGAUGGAUCCGCGCCGCAUUAGCUAGUUGGUAAGGUAACGGCUUACCAAGGCGACGAUGCGUAGCCGACCUGAGAGGGUGAUCGGCCACACUGGAACUGAGACACGGUCCAGACUCCUACGGGAGGCAGCAGUAGGGAAUCUUCCGCAAUGGGCGAAAGCCUGACGGAGCAACGCCGCGUGAGUGAUGAAGGUCUUCGGAUCGUAAAACUCUGUUAUUAGGGAAGAACAAAUGUGUAAGUAACUCUGCACGUCUUGACGGUACCUAAACAAAAAGCCACGGCUAACUACGUG
rnacentral:rRNA from 1 species